GAUGAACGCUGACAGAAUGCUUAACACAUGCAAGUCGAUGGGGAAGUGGUGCUUGCACCAUGGUAACCAUGGCGGACGGGUGAGUAACGCGUAAGGAACUUGCCUGCGGGACUGGGAUAACAGCAGGAAACUGCUGAUAAUACCGGAUAAGGUCAUUAAGCUGCAUAGCUUAGUGAUGAAAGGAGACGCCUGCGGAGAGCCUUGCGUCCUAUUAGCUAGUUGGAGGGGUAACGGCCCACCAAGGCGAAGAUAGGUAGCCGGCCUGAGAGGGUGGACGGCCACAAGGGGACUGAGAUACGGCCCUUAAUACUACGGGAGGCAGCAGUGGGGAAUAUUGGACAAUGGGGGCAACCCUGAUCCAGCAAUUCUGUGUGCACGAAGACGGUUUUCGGAUUGUAAAGUGCUUUCAGCAGGGAAGAAGGAAGUGACGGUACCUGCAGAAGAAGCGACGGCUAAAUACGUG
rnacentral:rRNA from 1 species